ACUCCACAGGCUCGCCCUGGCGGAAGCCUCCUCUCAGGUCGGAAUGGUGUCAUUCUUGGCAGCUGUCUCUCUCUGGCUUAUAGUCACAAGCUCCCGGGGGGCCUUCUCAUGUCUGCCACCAUAUUCCCGACAUCUAGAAUCAUGCCUGGCACCCAGUAGGUGCUAAGUAAUUAUUUGCUCCCCGUCCUCUGCAGACCUCAGGGUGUGACAGUUCUGAUCAGGCCGCAGCUUGCUGGCUCUGACCGUCCUCACGGCCAUGGCUCGUGUAGGUAAAACAUCACAGUGCGGACUCGCAACCUCCUUCCCCCAGAACCCGAGAGAGUGUGGCUUUUGUGCCUAAUCGAGGACCCCAGAUGCAGCUGUGCCCAGGGGUUGUGUCACAGACUCAAAAGAGUAAUUGCCUGGAAAUGAGACUGGCUCAAAAUAUCUCCAAUGUGACAAUAAAAUUCUGUUACCACAGAA